UACGUAGGGUGCAAGCGUUUAAUCGGAAUUACUGGGCGUAAAGCGUGCGCAGGCGGCUUUGCAAGACAGAUGUGAAAUCCCCGGGCUCAACCUGGGAACUGCAUUUGUGACUGCAUGGCUAGAGUACGGUAGAGGGGGAUGGAAUUCCGCGUGUAGCAGUGAAAUGCGUAGAUAUGCGGAGGAACACCGAUGGCGAAGGCAAUCCCCUGGACCUGUACUGACGCUCAUGCAC
rnacentral:rRNA from 1 species